rnacentral:rRNA from 1 species
AACGAACGCUGGCAGCGUGGAUUAGGCAUGCAAGUCGAACGCUCGGCGGCUGUAGCAAUACGGCCGCCGGGAGUGGCGGAAAGGCGAGGAACGCAUGGGCAAUCUGUCCCAAGGGUGGGGAUAACGCCGUGAAAAUGGCGCUAAUACCGAAUGUGGCGUACGGGUCGCAUGACUCGUCCGCUUAAGGCGGGGACCGCAAGGCCUGGCCCCUAGGGAGGAGCCCGUGUGCCAUCAGCUUGUUGGCCGGGUAACGGGCCACCAAGGCUUACGGCUAGCUGGUCUGAGAGGACGACCAGCCGCACUGGGACUGAGACACUGCCCAGACUCCUACGGGAGGCUGCAGUCGAGGAUCAUUCGCAAUGGGCGAAAGCCUGACGAUGCGACGCUGCGUGGAGGAUGACGGCCUUCGGGUUGUAAACUCCUGUCAUGAGGGAAACUCGAACCUGCGACAACAUCAGGGGGACGAGAUGGUACCUCAAGAGGAAGCCACGGCUAACUCUGUGCCAGCAGCCGCGGUAAUACAGAGGUGGCGAGCGUUGUUCGGAUUUACUGGGCGUAAAGGGCGCGUAGGCGGCGCGGUGUGUCGGGUGUGAAAUCCAUGGGGCCAACCCAUGAAGUGCGCCCGAAACUGCCGUGCUAGAGUGCCGGAGGGGAGAUCGGAAUGCAGGGUGGUAGCGGUGAAAUGCGUUGAUAUCCUGCAGAACACCGGUGGCGAAGGCGGAUCUCUGGA